AACGAACGCUGGCGGCAUGCCUAACACAUGCAAGUCGAACGAGACCUUCGGGUCUAGUGGCGCACGGGUGCGUAACGCGUGGGAAUCUGCCCUUAGGUUCGGAAUAAACUUCGGGAAACUGAAGCUAAUACCGGAUGAUGACGUAAGUCCAAAGAUUUAUCGCCUAAGGAUGAGCCCGCGUUGGAUUAGCUAGUUGGUGAGGUAAAGGCUCACCAAGGCGACGAUCCAUAGCUGGUCUGAGAGGAUGAUCAGCCACACUGGGACUGAGACACGGCCCAGACUCCUACGGGAGGCAGCAGUGGGGAAUAUUGGACAAUGGGCGAAAGCCUGAUCCAGCAAUGCCGCGUGAGUGAUGAAGGCCUUAGGGUUGUAAAGCUCUUUACCCGGGAUGAUAAUGACAGUACCGGGAGAAUAAGCUCCGGCUAACUCCGUGCCAGCAGCCGCGGUAA
rnacentral:rRNA from 1 species